GGGCCGUUAGCUCAGCUGGUAGAGCAGCGGACUCUUAAUCCGUUUGUCGUAGGUUCGACCCCUACACGGCCCACCA
rnacentral:tRNA from 1 species